UACGGGGGGGGCAAGCGUUGUUCGGAAUUACUGGGCGUGAAGCGUGCGUAGGUGGUGAGUUAAGUCUGUCGUGAAAGCCCCGGGCUCAACCUGGGAAUGGCGAUGGAUACUGGCUCGCUAGAGUGCGGUAGAGGAGAGUGGAAUUCCCGGUGUAGCAGUGAAAUGCGUAGAGAUCGGGAGGAACAUCAGUUGCGAAGGCGGCUCUCUGGACCAGCACUGACACUGAGGCACGAAAGCAUGGGGAGCAAACAGG
rnacentral:rRNA from 1 species